ACCUGCCCCUCAGUCUGCCCCUGAGCAACAACUUUGCGCAUGCCCAUUUCAACGCAUCGCUGAAACUGGGGUUUCAGAAGAGAUUUUGCAGGGGUUCAACACCGUCUUGUACGCAUUGGAUUUCAACUGGAAAUUAGCUACUUCAAAGAUUAUCCUACCACCGUCACACGGCCUAGCACUGUGUCCCUGGGAAAUGAUGAUUCCAUACCCCUAGAUGUCAACUCUGGUCUGGUGGAGGUGAACCCAUUGGGGGCCCAGGAAAACAGCUGGCAGCCAGGCAAGUGCAAAUAUAAGACACUCAAAAAAAUAUAUGCUUUGUAUACAACCAUUCAAGGUAACAUUUGUUAUUUACAUCAAUGUUACAGCUAAUCUAGAAGAACCACAGUGUAUGCCAAUCAUGCUAACUCUUGUAAACUUGUUUUACUUGUCUUUA